rnacentral:sRNA from 1 species
UGUAUGUCUUCUUCUUCUUCUUCUUCUCCUUCAUGCUACAAUCAUU